GUCUAUGGCCAUGCCACCCUGAAAAAAACGGGAUCCGGCCCGAUCUCGGAAGCUAAGCAGGGUCGGGCCUGGUUAGUACUUGGAUGGGAGAUCACCUAGGAAGACCAGGUGCUGUAGGCG
rnacentral:rRNA from 1 species